UACGUAGGGUGCGAGCGUUGUCCGGAAUUAUUGGGCGUAAAGGCUCGUAGGCGGUCUGUCGCGUCGGUAGUGAAAACUCAGGGCUUAACCCUGAGCCUGCUUCCGAUACGGGCAGACUAGAGGUAUGCAGGGGAGAAUGGAAUUCCUGGUGUAGCGGUGAAAUGCGCAGAUAUCAGGAGGAACACCAGUGGCGAAGGCGGUUCUCUGGGCAUUACCUGACGCUGAGGAGCGAAAGUGUGGGGAGCGAACAGG
rnacentral:rRNA from 1 species